rnacentral:rRNA from 1 species
GACGAACGCUGGCGGCGUGCCUAAUACAUGCAAGUAGAACGCUGAAGGAGGAGCUUGCUUCUCUGGAUGAGUUGCGAACGGGUGAGUAACGCGUAGGUAACCUGCCUGGUAGCGGGGGAUAACUAUUGGAAACGAUAGCUAAUACCGCAUAAUAGUAGAUGUUGCAUGACAUUUUCUUAUAAGUUUCAUUUUCAUCACUACCAGUUGGACCUGCGUUGUAUUAGCUUGUUGGUGGGGUAACGGCUCACCAAGGCGACGAUACAUAUCCGACCUGUGAGGGUGAUCGGCCAAACUGGGAAUGGGAAAAGGCACAGAAUACUAAGGGAGGCAGCAGUAGGGAAUCUUCGGAAAUGGACGGAAGACUGACCGAGCAAAGACGAGUGAGUGAAGAAGGUUUUAGGAUCGGAAAGCUCUGUUGUAAGAGAAGAAAGAGAGUGAGAGUGGAAAGUUCACAGUGUGACGGUAUCUAAACAGAAAGGGACGGCUAACUACGUG